rnacentral:rRNA from 1 species
GACAGAGGCCUCAAGCGUUAGGCGGAAUCACUGGGCUUAAAGCGUGUGUAGGCGGAUCGUUAAGUGCCUUGUGAAAUCCCACGGCUUAACUGUGGAACGGCUGGGCAUACUGGCGGUCUUGAGCCAUCUAGGGGCGACUGGAACAAACGGUGGAGCGGUGAAAUGCGUAGAUAUCAGGAGGAACACCGGUGGCGAAGGCGGUUCUCUGGGCAUUACCUGACGCUGAGGAGCGAAAGCGUGGGGAGCAAACAGG